rnacentral:rRNA from 1 species
AGAGUUUGAUUAUGGCUCAGNANGAACGCUGGCGGCGUGCUUAACACAUGCAAGUCGAACGAGGCUGAGGGGGCAACUCCUCAGUCGAGUGGCGGACGGGUGAGUAACACGUGGGUAACCUGCCCGGAAGUGGGGAAUACCUCGGGGAAACUCGAGCUAAUACCGCAUGACAUCUUCGGGACGAAAGUCCUGACGAUCAAAGCGGGGUCGCAAGAUCUCGCGCUACCGGAUGGGCCCGCGCCCGAUUAGCUAGUUGGUGAGGUAACGGCUCACCAAGGCUUCGAUCGGUAACCGGCCUGAGAGGGCGAUCGGUCACACCGGAACUGAGACACGGUCCGGACUCCUACGGGAGGCAGCAGUGGGGAAUCUUGCGCAAUGGGCGAAAGCCUGACGCAGCAACGCCGCGUGGAGGAUGAAGGCCCUUGGGUUGUAAACUCCUGUCGGCUGGGAAGAAAUCGUUCGUGGCUAAUACCUGCGGACGUUGACUGUACCAGCAAAGGAAGCCCCGGCUAACUCUGUGCCAGCAGCCGCGGUAAUACAGAGGGGGCCAGCGUUAUUCGGAAUUAUUGGGCGUAAAGGGCGCGUAGGCGGCCAUGCGUGUCUCCCGUGAAAUCCCUCGGCUUAACUGAGGACGUGCGGGGGAAACUGCAAGGCUCGAGUCCGGGAGANNGGGGUGGAAUUCCCAGUGUAGCGGCGAAAUGCGUAGAUAUUGGGAGGAACACCGGUGGCGANNNCGGCCCCCUGGACCGGUACUGACGCUGAGGCGCGAAAGCGUGG